rnacentral:lncRNA from 1 species
GAUUCAGUAGUCCUGUUUAUAAAACCAACUCCUUUACAAGAGCGAGGCAUCAGUACGCAGUGUGAUUGUUGGAAUCACACUCCUCAACGUGUAAAGAGGGGAUGGGGCUGGAAACCCUGACCUGAACGCCGAGGUUCCCACAGAUGAAGACUAGGCCUUUGGGAUGACAGAGCGCCAGUGUGGCCAUCAGGAGCCCCGAUUCUGCAUUCUGGAUUCAUACGCCUUGCUCAUAUCAAAUUUUGGAGCCUCAAGCAGGUAUGAAAAGGGUGGGCCUUCACAGGGCUCCUCGACUCAUCACUCUCCGCUAUGGAAAAGCCAGGUCGUCCCAGGAACCCCUUCAGCCACGCCACGCUCUCAGUGUUGCUCAGCCGACCCAGGAUUAAUAUUUGGGGAGAUGAAGAAACAUAUUUCCAAAUCCCAGAGGGGAUCCCUUGGGCCAAGCUCUACUCCUUCAAGAUGUACGAGUUGCCGCACUGAUGUCUCCACCUAGAACUUGUAGAGAUACUCAUGAAUUUCCACAAGCUGCGCACCCACUCCUCCCAGGCUAAGUGCUGGAUAAGGGGAUCUCCAGCCCAAGAGGCCUCUCCUGCAGGGCCUCUGGGGUCCUUGGUGACCAGUGCACUCAGUCUCUUAGGAAGCCAGCCCCAGCCAGCGAGGUGCAUGGAGUCCACAGAAAAGGGCCCGGCCUUCUCCAAGAUGUUUGUUGCUAAAUGACUAUGAUCUGCGGCCCCAUUAUUCUGGCUGGCUAGUGCAUCAGGCCAAGAAUAAAGCAGUUAAUUUCCAAGUAACUUUGACUCGCAAUGCGGAGAGCCUCUCAGCACGUCAGAGCCAGCCACGUUACGAGGUCACUGCUCCCUUUAACAGCCUCUAGCGGGAAACACAAAAGCCUGCAUACUGGCUGUGUUCCCUUGCCCUGGACUCCAUCCUGUUUGGGUGGGUCUCACUUGCUUGGCAUAUGUGUGAAGGCAUCUGUCUGUUUCCCCUACUCUAGUUUGGUCUGAAACUGAUUUUUUCAAAAUCUGUUAUGUAUUUAGGAUGUGUCAUACCCCGAAUGCUGAGUUUCAGUGCUUUUAAAGUAACUUGUACAAUUAAUUACACUUU